AAUCAACGCUGGCGGCGUGCCUCAGACAUGCAAGUCGAACGCGAAAGCCCCCUUCGGGGGGCAAGUAGAGUGGCGCACGGGUGAGUAACACGUAGGUAAUCUACCUUUGGAUGGGGAAUAACAACCGGAAACGGUUGCUAAUACCGCAUAAUGCAGCGGCACCUAAUGGUGACAGUUGUUAAAGCGGGGGAUCGCAAGACCUCGCGUCUGAAGAGGAGCCUGCGGCGGAUUAGCUAGUUGGUAGGGUAACGGCUUACCAAGGCUAUGAUCCGUAGCCGGCCUGAGAGGGCGGUCGGCCACACUGACACUGACAUACGGGUCAGACUCCUACGGGAGGCAGCAGUCGGGAAUUUUGGACAAUGGGGGGAACCCUGAUCCAGCCAUGCCGCGUGUGUGAAGAAGGCCUUAUGGUUGUAAAGCACUUUAAGCGAGGAGGAGGCUCUUUUGGUUAAUACCCAAGAUGAGUGGACGUUACUCGCAGAAUAAGCACCGGCUAACUCUGUGCCAGCCGCCGCGGUAACAC
rnacentral:rRNA from 1 species